CAGCAGCCACGGGAAAACGAAGGGGGCUAGCGUUGCUCGGAAUGACUGGGCGUAAAGGGCGCGUAGGCGGCGGCCAAAGUCAGGCGUGAAAUUCCUGGGCUCAACCUGGGGGCUGCGCUUGAUACUUGGUUGCUUGAGUGGGGAAGAGGGUCGUGGAAUUCCCAGUGUAGAGGUGAAAUUCGUAGAUAUUGGUAAGAACACCGGUGGCGAAGGCGGCGACCUGGUCCUUGACUGACGCUGAGGCGCGAAAGCGUGGGGAGCAAACAGGAUUAGAUACCCCUGUAGUCCCUGUCUCUUAUAC
rnacentral:rRNA from 1 species